CCUAAGGCGACGAUCCCGUAGCUGGUCUGAGAGGAUGACCAGCCACACUGGAACUGAGACACGGUCCAGACUCCUACGGGAGGCAGCAGUGGGGAAUAUUGCACAAUGGGCGCAAGCCUGAUGCAGCCAUGCCGCGUGUAUGAAGAAGGCCUUCGGGUUGUAAAGUACUUUCAGCGGGGAGGAAGGCGUUGAGGUUAAUAACCUCAGCGAUUGACGUUACCCGCAGAAGAAGCACCGGCUAACUCCGUGCCAGCAGCCGCGGUAAUACGGAGGGUGCAAGCGUUAAUCGGAAUUACUGGGCGUAAAGCGCACGCAGGCGGUCUGUCAAGUCGGAUGUGAAAUCCCCGGGCUCAACCUGGGAACUGCAUUCGAAACUGGCAGGCUAGAGUCUUGUAGAGGGGGGUAGAAUUCCAGGUGUAGCGGUGAAAUGCGUAGAGAUCUGGAGGAAUACNNCGGUNGGCGAAGGCGGCCCCCUGGACAAAGACUGACGCUCAGGUGCGAAAGCGUGGGGAGCAAACAGGAUUAGAUACCCUGGUAGUCCACGCCGUAAACGAUGUCGACUUGGAGGUUGUGCCCUUGAGGCGUGGCUUCCGGAGCUAACGCGUUAAGUCGACCGCCUGGGGAGUACGGCCGCNANAGGUUAAAACUCAAAUGAAUUGACGGGGGCCCGCACAAGCGGUGGAGCAUGUGGUUUAAUUCGAUGCAACGCGAAGAACCUCACCUACUCUUGACAUCCAGAGAACUUUCCAGAGAUGGAUUGGUGCCUUCGGGAACUCUAAGACAGGUGCUGCAUGGCUGUCGUCAGCUCGUGUUGUGAAAUGUUGGGUUAAGUCCCGCAACGAGCGCAACCCUUAUCCUUUGUUGCCAGCGGUUAGGCCGGGAACUCAAAGGAGACUGCCAGUGAUAAACUGGAGGAAGGUGGGGGAUGACGUCAAGUCAUCAUGGCCCUUACGAGUAGGGCUACACACGUGCUACAAUGGCGCAUACAAAGAGAAGCGACCUCGCGAGAGCAAGCGGACCUCAUAAAGUGCGUCGUACUCCGGAUUGUAGUCUGCAACUCGACUCCAUGAAGUCGGAAUCGCUAGUAGUCGUAAUCAUAA
rnacentral:rRNA from 1 species